UACGAAGGGAGCUAGCGUUGUUCGGAAUCACUGGGCGUAAAGCGCACGUAGGCGGAUGUGUAAGUCAGGGGUGAAAUCCCGGAGCUCAACUUCGGAACUGCCCUUGAUACAGCACAUCUGGAGUCCGGAAGAGGUGGGUGGAAUUCCUAGUGUAGAGGUGAAAUUCGUAGAUAUUAGGAAGAACACCGGUGGCGAAGGCGGCCCACUGGUCCGGUACUGACGCUGAGGUGCGAAAGCGUGGGGAGCAAACAGG
rnacentral:rRNA from 1 species